rnacentral:rRNA from 1 species
UUCGGAUUGAAGCAACUGUGACUGAGCGGCGGACGGGUGAGUAACGCGUGGGUAACCUGCCUCAUACAGGGGGAUAACAGUUGGAAACGGCUGCUAAUACCGCAUAAGCGCACGGCAUCGCAUGAUGCAGUGUGAAAAACUCCGGUGGUGUGAGAUGGAUCCGCGUCUGAUUAGGUAGUUGGUGGGGUAACGGCCCACCAAGCCGACGAUCAGUAGCCGACCUGAGAGGGUGACCGGCCACAUUGGGACUGAGACACGGCCCAAACUCC